UCAACCUGUAAAGUGUAAACUGAAUUAGACUAUUUUACAAACAAGUGUAUAUAUAGUAUGGUGAAGUAUUAUUUAUAUGCAAAUAAUAUUUCUCUGAUGGAUUUUAAAUCGUAGCCUUACACAUUCUAUAUUAUAUUAAUAGCAUUGAAUUGUAAUGAGUGCGUAAUAAUUAAUGCAAUUUUAUUUCCUUCAUAGAAAAGCGAUAGAAACACUGCUAUUAGCUAAGCUAUUUAGAUUUUUUAUAGAUUUCUUCCAUAACAUGGUUAAUAGAUGUUUCUUGUGUAAAUGGAGAACUGAUAAAUACCCCCAGAGAUCCUUCCACAAAUUUCCAUCCAACAAUGAAUUGAGGCAGAAGUGGUUGGACAUUUUAGGAAAAAGCAAUGUGGACAUAGGAAGGCGCACAUCAUUGUGUAACUUGCACUUUGAAGAUGACUGUUUUCGUAUUGGUCUUGUUUACGGAAGGAGAGUCUUAAAGAAGGGUAGCUUACCAACACUACAUUUAAUCAAAAGUGAAACCAGUAAUCCCAACAGUUUGGAACUGCAACAUCCAAUUACAAACACUGUGCAGACAAAAGAUCGAACUUCUGAUUUGCAUACUGAUAGCAAUCUUGUAGAAGUUCCUAUUGAAAUUUGUUUACCAGAAAGAUCACCCGGGAAUAGUUUAAUAAAAAAUGAAAAACUAAACAGUAAAUGGAUGAACAACACUGUAGGGUGGGAGUCAAAACCAGACAGAUUAUGCUCAACACAAAUUGAUUUUCACUCAAAUCCAAAUCAAUUCACUAAUUGUCCAGUGAAUGAAGAAGAUCGGCACACAGUUGUAAAAGGAAUAAAAACUGAAAUUUUUAGUGAUGAAGAGGAGGAAAUAAGUAAAUGCACACAAGAUCUUAAAGUAAAAAAAGAAGGGAAGAUAAAUGAAGAAGAAUGUCAUAUGUUAGAAAUAGUAAUAAAAUCGGAAGUUUGUGAUAAUGUAAUUGAGGGAAAUGAGGAAUGCAAAGUCACUGAGCAACCUGAAGAUGCUGUUGUUAGAGUAGGAGAAAAGAUAAAUCAAAAAGAGUAUCAGCAGUUGCCCAAUAAAGAAGUAAUAAUAAAGAAGGAAAUAAAAGAAGAAGUUAAUGGGCUCUCUGAAGACUACAUUGCUAAAAUAAAAGAUGAGGUAGAUGUCAAGGAAGAAGUGCUUCAUAAAGAGUACUUUACACAAUAUACUUAUAAUUGUAAUGCUGCAAACGAUGUAUUUGACAGAGAAGAAAUGCAUAAAGAGCUAAAAAAAGAGCUAAAAAGAAAAAGAAAUUGUGAACGUCAAAGGGCAUAUUAUCAUCGUCAGAAAGAUUUGAAGAAAAAUGAAGAAAAAAAAAUAAAAAAAGUACCAAAAACAAAUGCUGAACGUCAGAGGGAAUUUCGUCAACGUAAAGCAGAAAAAUCCUACGGGGAUAUUGCGCAAACAACGCAAGGAAUUGGCGACGUUAUGAUAGAACCUUUCAACACACAAAAUACGUCUAAUUUGAGGCAUACGGGAUCAGCCAGAGAAAUAAAAGAAAAAAAAAGAAAACGAAAUCAGGAAUAUCAAAGGGCAUGGCGUCAGCGUCAAAAAGAUUUGAAGAAAAAAGAUUCGAAGGAAGAAAAAGAAGCAAAAGUAGAAAAAAAAAGAAAAAAACAUCGCGAGAAUCAAAGGGCAUAUUAUCAACGUACAAAACGGAAGUUUUUUUCGAAGGAAAAUUACAAAAAUGUAGAAGAAUUGUCUGAAAAGACAUUGGAUGAUUUGCAAAUGAAAAGAAAGAAAUUGGACAGUAAUGAAGUCCUAGAGAAUGUUGUGCCAUACCUAGAAAAUGUACAGCUCGAACAAAACCAAUCCCUCGCCCAAAAACUUCAUAUAUAUGAAGAGAGUCACGAAUGCAUUACCCCCAAAGUCAUUCUACACAGAAACACAGAUAUUCCAGGCGAUGGUAAUUGUUUAUUCCACUCACUCAUACGUGUCCUUCAACUUCAAAUUUUGACUUGUGAUUUGAGAAGACAGUUACGUGAUUCACCUUACUUAAACUCCUGCCACAAUCCACAGGAAGCAUAUAGCAUACUCACAAGUAACAAUGAAUAUGGAGAUUUGGAUUGUUUAUACUUGUUUGCAAAAACUUACAAUCAAAAUAUUUGUGUGCAUUACCACUAUUUCAACGUAAUUUCACAAAAUGAAGACACUCGCUUCUGUCAUUUUAAAGCAAAUGAUGCGCAAAAUUGGAUUCAUCUUGAUCUUCGUGAGCUGCACUUUACGCCUUACUUCACUGAUGAUGAAAAGAAAAAGGAAGAUGAAAGAAAACAAAAGCAAAAAAACAAAGAAUAUUCUAAGCGGUAUCGCGAUAGAAAAAGAACAUCAAAUUUACUAACAGGCCCGUCCUCCAGAGAUGUGUUAGAUGUACAACCAGUCAUUCAUACUUCACAAACUGCAGGCCCGUACACAAGAGGUGUGCUAUAUCUUCCACCAGUUGUCUGUAGUUCCCAAAUUGCAGAUUUAUCAUCAAGAGAUGUACCUUCAAGUCUACCAAUAAAUUCUAACUACAAUUCUAUCGAUGAUAAAGUGCAACAACCGCAUUUUCCUUAUCAAGUUGUUGAAUCAUCUCAACCUAAUAUACAUCUUCUAACAUACUCUGCUUUUCAACAGAAUUCUUCUGCUCAUCGACAAUUUGAAAAGGAUUUUAUUGAGAAUGAAUUUGGUCAUGCUUGUGACAUUUGCGACAGACUGUGGUUUAGAAAUGAUUUGAAAUAUUUGCAGAAUCACGAUGCAGUUCCAAACAUUGAAUUUGUAAGAACAUUGCUCUCAAACAUUGAUAUACUAAGAAUAAAAAUGUGCUUGACUUGCUUUACAGCCAUUCAAAAGCGACAUAUCCCACCACUAUCAGUUUGCAAUGGAUUCAAAUAUGCACCACUUCCAGACUGUCUCAAAGAGUUUCCUUUGGAUUUGGUAACUGAAAGGCUUAUAUCGCCAAGGAUUCCAUUUAUGCAAAUUCGAAGGCUUUGGCAUGUUCACGGUAAAUAUGGAAUAUACGGGCAGGUGAUAAAUGUCCCAAUUGAAGUAAAUACAAUGGUGCAUCAGUUACCAAGGCAAGUGGAUGAUGAUCAUGCCAUAACAGUUCAUAUUAAAAGGAAAAAAAUUCACAAAUCUAGCUACGUAUAUGGUAUAGUGGCGAAGAGAAAAAUUAAAGUGUGGUUACGAUAUUUAAAGAAUACUCCUCUUUACAAGUUCUACGGCGUUUCAGUUGACGAUAGUUUUUUGAAGGAUAGAAGUUAUGACGUUAAAGAUGAAAUCAUCUUUGAUCAAGAUGGCGACAAUGACAUCUUGGAACAAAUACCCAUUGAGGAAAGUCUAAUGGCACAGCAGCAAACAUUGAUGUGGAACGACGAUAUGUACUUGAGAAUCACUCGAGGCGAAGGUAAUUCUGCAAAGAGUUUGCUAUUUGAUGAACAUGCUGAAGAAUUAUCUUUUCCACAAAUAUAUUUGGGGCAAUUCAGAGAAUUUAGGCAUGUGGUCACACCCUUUAUGAUGGCUACAAGUGAACUUAGGAGAUCUGAUAGACGAGGAGUGACCCCUCAACACUUGUUGUACAUGGCUAUGAAAAUAAUGAGAAUUAGAAUUAAGGACUCUCUUAAAAUUGCAUUCAAGCAUGUCGGCCAAGGUAUUGCAAUUACUAAAGAGCUAAUACAAUCUGAUAAUUAUAUUCACGACUGCAUUGAAACUAAUUUGGCGUUCCUUCGUUCCAUUCCGAAUUCAGCACACUAUUGGGCAGAAAGAAAAAGAGAUCUUUUUUCCAUGAUUCGUCAGUAUGGUAAGCCAACUGUUUUCUUUACCAUAAGUGCUAAUGAAAUUGGAUGGCCUAAAUUGUUACAAUUGUUGCAUAAUUUGAAAAAUAAUGCGAAAAUAUCGGUUGAAGAGGCUGCAGAUUUGCAUUUUAUUGAGAAAAGCACUCUUAUUAAUGAAGAUGCUGUAACAUGCGCUAUAUACUUUAAUAAGUUAGUCCAAAUUCUUUUAAAAAUAUUGCAAUCAAAAAGGCACAGUCCUUUCAAAAAAUACAGGAUUUUGCAUUACUUUAAAAGAAUUGACUUUCAAUAUAGAGGUAGUCCACAUGCGCAUAUUUUAGCUUGGUUAGAUAAUGCACCAGAAGACGCCCUUAACAGAGAUUACAAUAAAGCUAUCGAUCUAAUCGACUUUCUGACAUCAGUAUCUGCUGCCGAGGCUUCUGGUGAUAUUCGAUUACAAACUCAUAAGCAUACUUCUACUUGCUAUAAAGGUACGGAAUCGAGACUAAAACAAAAAUGUAGAUUUGACGCCCCAUUCAUGCCUUUUAAGAAAACCAUGAUUUUGACUCCUAUGCCAGAUACAGAAAAUGGUUUCCUACACUACAAGGCUAAAUAUAAUGCAAUCCAAAAAAACUUGGAAAAAUACGAAUACAAUGGUUUUCAAUCGUUUUACGAUGGAAAUGAUAUUGGUUCAGAUGAAGAAUAUGUCAAAAUUAUUCGUGCAGGAAUUAAUAGACCUCGAGUUUUUCCAAAGCGUGAACCAUGUGAAAAGUGGAAUAAUCAAUUUAAUCCAUUUAUAUUGAACAUUGUCAGAUCCAACACUGAUUUCCAAUUUAUAAUUGAUGAAUAUUCUUGUGCAGUUUACGUGAGCGAAUAUGUUAAUAAAACUAACAGAGGUGUUAGCAAUUUACAAAGACAGAUAAUUGAUAUAAUGGAUGAGCAUCCUGAGUUUAAUUUAUUUGAUAUUACUAAAAAUAUUAGCAUUAAUCUUUUGAACCACACUGAAAUGACGAGUCAAGAGGCUGCAUGGUAUUUAUUGAGAGAGCCGAUGUCAAAAAGUUCAAAUGUUAUUGUCUAUAUACCAACCAUUAGGCCGGUCGAAAGGCAUAGAAUAAAGAAGACAAUGAAAAGAUUAAAUGAACUAGAGGAUGAUUCAACCGACGUAUGGAAGGAAAAUUGGUUCGACAAGUAUGAGAAUAGACCUGAAGAUUUAUCAGGUAUUUCUCUUGCUCAGUUUGUUGCUAAAUAUUAUAAAAAUAACAAGGGUGACUAUGUACUCAGGGAAGAACCAAAAGUUAUACGAUAUCGCAAUUAUAAUAUGAGUACCGACUACAAUGAGUAUCGGAGAGAAAUGGUUACUUUGCACCUUCCAUUCCGUCAUGAAGAAUCGGAAAUUCUUGCAGAAUCGCGAUAUCUUCACUUAUACGAAGAAAAUGAGGCACUUAUUCUAGAUCGAAGAAAAGAGUUCGAAUCAAAUUUUGACAUCGAAAAAACAUUGGAAAUCUGCAGGGAUAUAUGUCGUGAAUAUGUUUCCGAUGGUGGAGAGGAGAUAAAUGAAGUCAUUGGUAGAAUUCCUAGUGAAAACCCAUUUGCUGAAUUAUAUCAGAAUCCAAAUACAGAUUUAAAUGAUGAUCAACGGCUUGCGCUGUGUGAUAAGCUUGGAGAAAUUGCUAAAAAGAAAGAGAAUAUUUUACCUUAUCCAGAAUUUUAUGGGCUUAUGCGCAAAGCAAACGAGGAACAGCGAGAAAUUUUAUUUCACACUAUGCAUAAUUUAAAUCAGUCAACGAGCCGAUGCAAAAACCAUUGCUGAUAUAUAUGACUGCCAGCUAGGAGUGGUAAAACGUUUGUAAUAAAAGCACGGAUGGACUUAUACUUAUGUUUACGAGUAAUGGGGUUAACGAAUACAACAUAUCAAUUCUAAACAGUUUUAAAAAUAAAACUGUUUCAUUGGCAUCAGAUGUUUUCUUUAGUUAUCAUAAUGCAGGUCAAAAAAAUUGUAAGACUGAAGUGAAACCUGACGAGACUCGUGGAUUACCUUACUAACCUAACCGACCUUAUAUGAUAACUAUAAACAUAGAUGUCGCUGAUGGUUUAUCAAUUGGCACUAUAGAAUUACUUCUCAUAAGAAUCUGAUGAAAAUGAUGGAAUCACAUACUUUGGUUCAAAUUCUCAAAAUCCAUUGGUGAGAAAUGUGCAACAAAAUUUAGAAGGGACAUUGCAUGCUUGAAAAUUGACACAGAUGCUUUUCCAAUUUCUGUACAUUCAUCGUCAAUACCCAAUGACGUUCUAUAUACACACAUAGACAUAUCAUUCGCAGCAGAAUGGCAAAGGUAUGUUUAUAGACACUGUGUGCUUAAAGUCUCCUUAGCCGUGUGUCAAUCACCAAGCCUAAGUGUGAAACGACGGAAAAAAAGGUGGUGUGACUUUUCACUGCUUUCCCGUUCACGAGAUAAUGAAAGAAAAUUGGCGGCGGUUGGUAGCAAGAGAGAGAUGCGAAGAAUUUUACAAACCAAAUAAGUCGAGUGUCAGUCGCUCGAAUCAUUCCCUCGAGUCUGAUUUAUAUUUCACCACUAACGGAUUUAAGCGUUUAAAAUUACAUGCUCAAAGAGAAUGAUAAAACUUUUUUAACAUUAAAAGUACUGAAAUCUUUUACUAAUGUCAAUAUUGAGAUAUAUAUCUAGUCAAAUUGAUGCACACACAAAAGUCCAAUUUGGCCCCAUUUAUAAUUUGACAAAGCUGUCAUAAAAAGAUAUGUUGAUGUCCGCUUACACUACAUAAGCCACAAGGAUACCCUGGAAAAGAUGUCUAAACGGCAAGUUUUUCACAAAUAAAAUUUAUUUCAGGGAACUUAACAUUUUAAUGUAGUUUACCGAAUUAUUUUAUGUAAAUAAAAUAGUAAGAUACUUGA